rnacentral:rRNA from 1 species
UACGGGAGGCAGCAGUGAGGAAUUUUGCGCAAUGGGAGCAAUCCUGACGCAGCAACGCCGCGUGAGUGAUGAAGGCCUUCGGGUCGUAAAGCUCUGUCAGGUGGGAAGAAUGUUCCGCAUGUGAACAAUGUGCGGGAGUGACGGUACCACCAGAGGAAGCACCGGCUAACUCCGUGCCAGCAGCCGCGGUAAUACGGAGGGUGCGAGCGUUAUUCGGAAUUACUGGGCGUAAAGGGCGUGCAGGCGGCCUGGAAAGUCUGAUGUGAAAGCCCUGGGCUUAACCCGGGAAGUGCAUUGGAAACUGUUGGGCUUGAGUUCUGGAGAGGAAGGGGGAAUUCCCGGUGUAGAGGUGAAAUUCGUAGAGAUCGGGAGGAAUACCAGUGGCGAAGGCGCCCUUCUGGACGGAUACUGACGCUGAGACGCGAAAGCGUGGGGAGCAAACAGGAUUAGAUACCCUGGUAGUCCACGCUGUAAACGAUGAGCACUAGGUGUAGCGGGUACUCAUUCCUGCUGUGCCGCAGCUAACGCGAUAAGUGCUCCGCCUGGGGACUACGGUCGCAAGACUAAAACUCAAAGGAAAUUGACGGA